rnacentral:rRNA from 1 species
CUGUCGGAGGGGAAGACAAAAAAAGACGGUACCCUCCAAGAAAGCCCCGGCUAACUACGUGC